rnacentral:tRNA from 1 species
GUUAAGUUGGCAGAAAAGUGCAUUAGACUUAGGAUCUAAAAAUGGGAUAUCAUCAUCUUACUUAAUA